GUCCACGCCCUAAACGAUGAGUGCUAGUUGUCGGCAAGUUUACUUGUCGGUGACGCAGCUAACGCAUUAAGCACUCCGCCUGGGGAGUACGGCCGCAAGGUUAAAACUCAAAGAAAUUGACGGGGCCCGCACAAGCGGUGGAGCAUGUGGUUUAAUUCGAAGCAACGCGCAGAACCUUACCCACGUUUGACAUCCGGUGCUACCUGGAGAGAUCCAGGGUCCUUCGGCGCCGAGACAGGUGCUGCAUGGCUGUCGU
rnacentral:rRNA from 1 species